rnacentral:snRNA from 2 species
AUCUUUGCGCUUGGGGCAAUGAUGCAGCUGGUGAGGUUUUAAUCGAGGCGCGUCUAUUGCUGGUUGAAAAUUAUUUCCAAACCCCCUUUUUAGGCCUGGGUUCGGCCCUGGCCUUAGAGAAUUUAUGAAAGGGCUCCCUUUGGGAUAAGGCC